rnacentral:rRNA from 1 species
GAUGAAUGCUAGCGGCGUGGAUAAGGCAUGCAAGUCGAGUGGGUUUAGACCCACGGCAAACGAGGUAGUAAUACGCAGGUACUCACCGAAAAGUCGAGCAUAUACCGUCGAAAGGCGGAGCAAUUCUCGAUAGUCCCUCCGGGGUAAAGGAGCAAUCCGCUUUUUGAGAGGCCUGUGGCGCAUCAGGUAGUUGGUAGGGUAAUGGCCUACCAAGCCUACGACGCGUAGGGGAGCUGAGAGGCUGACCCCCACCGAUGGAACUGAGACACGGUCCAUACACCUACGGGUGGCUGCAGUCGAGAAUAUUUGGCAAUGGGCGCAAGCCUGACCAUGCGACGCCGCGUGGUUGAUGAAGUCCUUCGG